UACGAAGGGUGCAAACGUUUGCUCGGAAUUAUUGGGCGUAAAGCGCACGUAGGCGGCUUUGCAAGUCGGAUGUGAAAUCCCACGGCUCAACCAUGGAAGUGCAUCCGAAACUGCAGAGCUUGAGUACUUAAGAGGAUCGCGGAAUUCCCGGUGUAGAGGUGAAAUUCGUAGAUAUCGGGAGGAACACCAGUGGCGAAGGCGGCGUCUGGGAAGAUACUGACGCUGAGGUGCGAAAGCGUGGGGAGCAAACAGG
rnacentral:rRNA from 1 species